UACGUAGGUGGCAAGCGUUGUCCGGAUUUACUGGGCGUAAAGGAUGCGUAGGCGGAUAUUUAAGUGAGAUGUGAAAUUCCCGGGCUUAACUUGGGCACUGCAUUUCAAACUGGGUAUCUAGAGUGCGGGAGAGGAAAGUGGAAUUCCUAGUGUAGCGGUGAAAUGCGUAGAGAUUAGGAAGAACACCAGUGGCGAAGGCGACUUUCUGGACCGUAACUGACGCUGAGGCAUGAAAGCGUGGGGAGCAAACAGG
rnacentral:rRNA from 1 species